rnacentral:rRNA from 1 species
GACGAACGCUGGCGGCGUGCCUAAUACAUGCAAGUAGAACGCUGAAGAGAGGAGCUUACUCUUCUUGGAUGAGUUGCGAACGGGUGAGUAACGCGUAGGUAACCUGCCUUGUAGCGGGGAUAACUAUUGGAAACGAUAGCUAAUACCGCAUAACAAUGGAUGACACAUGUCAUUUAUUUGAAAGGGGCAAUUGCUCCACUACAAGAUGGACCUGCGUUGUAUUAGCUAGUAGGUGAGGUAAUGGCUCACCUAGGCGACGAUACAUAGCCGACCUGAGAGGGUGAUCGGCCACACUGGGACUGAGACACGGCCCAGACUCCUACGGGAGGCAGCAGUAGGGAAUCUUCGGCAAUGGGGGCAACCCUGACCGAGCAACGCCGCGUGAGUGAAGAAGGUUUUCGGAUCGUAAAGCUCUGUUGUAAGUCAAGAACGGGUGUGAGAGUGGAAAGUUCACACUGUGACGGUAGCUUACCAGAAAGGGACGGCUAACUACGUG